UACGGAGGGGGCUAGCGUUGUUCGGAAUUACUGGGCGUAAAGCGCACGUAGGCGGAUAUUUAAGUCAGGGGUGAAAUCCCGGGGCUCAACCCCGGAACUGCCUUUGAUACUGGGUAUCUGGAGGUCGAGAGAGGCGAGUGGAAUUCCGAGUGUAGAGGUGAAAUUCGUAGAUAUUGGGAAGAACACCGGUGGCGAAGGCGGCUAUCUGGACCGACAUUGACGCUGAGGCGCGAAAGCGUGGGGAGCAAACAGG
rnacentral:rRNA from 1 species